ensembl:snRNA U1 U1 spliceosomal RNA
AUACUUACCUGGCAGGGGAAAGGCCAUGACCACGAAGGUGAUUUUCUCAGGGCAAGGCACCCCGGAUGUGCUAAACCCUGAGAUGUCCCAAAAUGUGGGAAACUCAACAACUCAACUCUGUAAUUUGUAAUAGUGGUAACUCUGUUCAUGCUGUCUCCUA